GGACUACUGGGGUAUCUAAUCCUGUUUGCUCCCCACGCUUUCGCGUCUCAGCGUCAGCAACGAUCCAGAGGGCCGCCUUCGCCGCCGGUGUUCCUCCUGAUAUCUACGCAUUUCACCGCUACACCAGGAAUUCCACCCUCCUCUAUCGCGCUCCAGCUGGCUAGUUUCCGAUGCACUUCCGAGGCUGAGCCUCGGGCUUUCACAUCGGACUUGACCAACCGCCUACACGCCCUUUACGCCCAGUCAAUCCGAACAACGCUCGCACCCUCCGUCUUACCGCGGCUGCUGGCAC
rnacentral:rRNA from 1 species